GACGAACGCUGGCGGCGUGCUUAACACAUGCAAGUCGAACGGAAAGGCCCUGCUUUUGUGGGGUGCUCGAGUGGCGAACGGGUGAGUAACACGUGGGUAACCUGCCCUUGCCUUUGGGAUAACUUCAGGAAAUUGGGGCUAUUACCGGAUAGGAGUUCUGGCGGCUUGGUGGGGGUGGGAAAGUUUCGGCGGUUGGGGAUGGACUCGCGGCUUAUCAGCUUGUUGGUGGGGUAGUGGCUUACCAAGGCUUUGACGGGUAGCCGGCCUGGAGGGGUGACCGGCCACAUUGGGACUGAGAUACGGCCCAGACUCCUACGGGAGGCAGCAGUGGGGAAUAUUGCACAAUGGGCGGAAGCCUGAUGCAGCAACGCCGCGUGCGGGAUGACGGCCUUCGGGUUGUAAACCGCUUUCGCCUGUGACGAAGCGUGAGUGACGGUAAUGGGUAAAGAAGCACCGGCUAACUACGUG
rnacentral:rRNA from 1 species